UGGCGGACGGGUGAGUAAUGUCUGGGAAACUGCCCGAUGGAGGGGGAUAACUACUGGAAACGGUAGCUAAUACCGCAUAACGUCGCAAGACCAAAGAGGGGACCUUGGGCCUCUUGCCAUCGGAUGUGCCCAGAUGGGAUUAGCUAGUAGGUGGGGUAACGGCUCACCUAGGCGACGAUCCCUAGCUGGUCUGAGAGGAUGACCAGCCACACUGGAACUGAGACACGGUCCAG
rnacentral:rRNA from 1 species